rnacentral:rRNA from 1 species
GACGAACGCUGGCGGCGUGCUUAACACAUGCAAGUCGAACGGAAAGGCCCUGCUUUUGUGGGGUGCUCGAGUGGCGAACGGGUGAGUAACACGUGAGUAACCUGCCCUUGACUUUGGGAUAACUUCAGGAAACUGGGGCUAAUACCGGAUAGGAGCUCCUGCUGCAUGGUUGGGGUUGGAUAGUUUCGGCGGUUGGUGAUGGACUCGCGGCUUAUCAGCUUGUUUGUGGGGUAGUGGCUUACCAAGGCUUUGACGGGUAGCCGGCCUGAGAGGGUGACCGGCCAAAAUGGGACUGAGAUACGGACCAGACUGGUACGGGAGGCAGCAGUGGGGAAUAUUGCACAAUGGGAGGAAGCCUGAGGCAGAAACGCCGCGUGCGGGAUGACGGCCUUCGGGUUGUAAACCGAUUUCGACUGUGACGAAGCGUGAGUGACGGUAAUGGGUAAAGAAGCACCGGCUAACUACGUG